rnacentral:tRNA from 1 species
GGAAGAUUAGCGAAGUGGCUAAACGCGGCAGACUGUAAAUCUGUUCCUUCGGGUUCGGUGGUUCGAAUCCACCAUCUUCCACCA